rnacentral:rRNA from 1 species
GACGAACGCUGGCGGCGUGCUUAACACAUGCAAGUCGAACGGAAAGGCCCUGCUCUUGCGGGGUGCUCGAGUGGCGAACGGGUGAGUAUCACGUGAGUAUCCUGCCCUUGACAUUGGGAUAACUUCAGGAAACUGGGGAUAAUACCGGAUAGGAGCUCCUGCUGCAUGGGGGGGGUUGGAAAGUUUCGGCGGUUGGGGAUGGACUCGCGGCUUAUCAGCUUGUUGGUGGGGUAGUGGCUUACCAAGGCUUUGACGGGUAGCCGGCCUGAGAGGGUGACCGGCCACAUUGGGACUGAGAUACGGCCCAGACUCCUACGGGAGGCAGCAGUGGGGAAUAUUGCACAAUGGGCGGAAGCCUGAUGCAGCAACGCCGCGUGCGGGAUGACGGCCUUCGGGUUAUAAACCGCUUUCGCCUGUGACGAAGCGUGAGUGACGGUAAUGGGUAAAGAAGCACCGGCUAACUACGUG